CUGCAGUGGAGCUGCCUUCAAACGUAGCUGAGCAGUUGGAAUCAAGGAGCUUUUGGGAAGUCGUGUGAUCUCCUCUCACCUGGUGAAUGACUUGAACUGAAAGAGGCCAAUAGCAAACAGACCCUGGGCUGAUUCACUCAGGGAUGGGACUGCUGCCUCCAUCCUGUUUAUGGCCUGUCAAGUGCUGCUUUAUUUCCAGGAGUUAAAGAAUUUACAACUGGAAGAAAAUACUGCAGGCUUAUGAAAACUGCAAGGUGCUGGUGAAGGACAGGGAGCCCCAAAGCCUCACCGUGGUGUUACAGAGCCUGCAUGCAGAGGCUGCAGCAGAAAGCUGGAUAACUGAACUGCCUUGGGCCAAUUUUCCUGGCUUCAUCCUUGAACUGCUCCAAUUGCUUCCAGUGGAUCCCGAGGUGGAGAAUAACUCACUGUUUGCUGGCAUUUGACAUUUUGAAGAGCAGUGAAGGUGGGCAGCACAAGCUGUGCCAGUGAGGGGGUUCCACAAAGCUGAGUGAGCAGCGUUGCUGCCGGAGCAGAGCCCCGUGCCAACACCAAACACGCCUUGCCGAGGGCAGGACCUGGCACUUCACACCUGAAAUCCUUUUCUCUGGCAUCUGCUGAUGCAGCUGGUGAAUCACACAGCUUCCAGCAUAUGCCACAGCCAUGCAAAAGCUGCUCCUGAUGGCCUCUGAUCUGAAAACACUGCAGCAGGAAACCUCCUCUGGAUAUUCAUUUGACAGAAUGAGCUCAUCCUCUGGCUGCUCUGAAGUCUUCACACAGCUAUUGGACUGGCAGAUCAGAGGAACAACUGCACCACCAUGGGCAAGUGUGUGAAAUGACUUUUGUGAGGGUUUUAUGCCUUUUUCAGGUUGGAAGGGCCACUCAGGUCAUGUACUCGGGUAACUGAGCCACUGUAAUUUUACACACCAUGAACAGGGUGCCCAGAGCAGCUGUGGCUGCCCCUGGAUCCCUGGAAGUGCCCAAGGCCAGGCUGGACCAGGGCUUGGAGCAGCCUGGGACAGUGGAAGGUGUCCCUGCCCGUGGCAGAAGGGCAGAACAAGAUGAUCUUUAGGGUCCCUUCCAACCCAAACAAUUCUGUGAUUGCAUGAUUCUGUUCAAAAGCAAAAUUUAUGGCAGAAGUGUUGGAAUGAAAUUUAGGAUAAUGGUGGUGAUUAUUAGAAAUGUGUGAUUUGUUUGUUGUCUUGUGGUUAAGUGAUUACAUAUUACCAUUACUUAGUUACUUGAUUAAUUUUAAUACUUACUGUCAACUCUAGGUCUAUUGCAGUUGAAAAUAUAUUCCAGCAUAGAAGGUCAAUAACAAAAAUAUAAGAAGUCAUCCAGCAGUCAGAAAAACCUGCCACUUUUCUUUUGCAUUUUCAGCUGAAAAGGAUGAGAGAGAAGGCAGAGUGAGGGACUGUCUGGGACAGGAGUGGGGGCAUCUCAGUGUGGAGAGCCAAUGAUGUGUCACUGGUGUCAGAGCCUCCAGAUUUAGCUGCCAUAAAAAGAUGAGCCCCCUGGUUUGCUGUCUGUUUGUGAGAAAAUAUUGCCAGCCAAGAAAAUCUCUUCCCCACCUAGGCCUGAGGUGGGUAACACGUCAGGAAAACCUUUGAUCCGUGCUCAGAGCUGUGCAGCAUUGCUUUGCAAAGCUGGGCUUUGUUCCUUGGCUCUCCUGAUUGUGCAGGGAGGCUUUUCAGAUGGACAUCCCCAUGCAAAUGUCCCAAACAGAAAUUGCUAUGGGAGGGACCUUGAGUGGAGAGUUCAUGGAAGCAACACCUUAAAUUAAAACUGUAGAGCUGGAAAACCCCAUAGAGCAGCCCUGCAACCCCACAUGUCAGCUCAGCCUGGAGAAAAGGAGGCUCAGGGGGGACCUUGUGGCUCUGCACAGCUCCUGACAGGAGGGGACAGCCAGGGGGGGUCGGGCUGUGCUCCCAGGGAACAGGGACAGGACAAGGGCAAACGGCCUCAGGCUGGGCCAGGGGAAGCUUAGAUUGCAUCUGAGAGAAAAUUUCUUUCCUCAGAUUUAAUCUAAAACUUCCCUGGUGCAAAUUGAGGCCAUUUUCUCUAAUCCUGUGGUUUUGGUAAUGUACAAGUUAUAAUUGUUAAAUUGAGUCUAAGCAAUCUGUAAUGUACUUUAGUUUAACAAGUUGCAUAAAAAUAUCUACAAAAUGAAAAGUAUUUGGACGAAUAUCUUUCACUAAUGAUAGUUAUUAGGCAGAAAUGUGCUAGAAUUUCAGAGGUUUAUUUUCAUAGAUUUUGGUUUCAUGAGUCUGCUAAAGAGGAAGCAUCUUACUUUUUAUUGUAUAUUUAUACUGAGCAAACACCCCAAAAUCAUAAACCUGGUGUAUAUAAAAUAUAUCCUGCUCAUUUCCCCAUAAAAUAUCUCUGGGCAGUGUUUUAUGUAUUUUUUAAAACCAUUGACAAGCUACUGGUUUGUCUCUUGGAUUGAUUUGUAUCAAAGUUUUAUAGACACUGGCAUCUUUCAGUUCCAGAGGCAGCUGAUAUUUUGAAGGAUGUUCCAGUGGGGAUGAGGCCAGUGUUUUAGUCUGCCCAGCUGCAGUUAUUUUCACUUUUAAUAACCCACUACCUUGGAGCCUUGUCAACAUUUAAACUGAGCUUUCCAUACCUUGAUGAUUAAUUCUUGGUUCAGGCAAGCACUCGAUGAGACUAAAACAUCACUCAUGAUUUAAGAUACACAAGACAUAAUAAAUUAAUUAGGUGAACAUUAGCCUCCUUUUCCUGUUUGAAGAUAUUGGUAAGAAUAUUGCUCUGGGUUUGAUUUUACUUACGGAAUUUUUUACCUGCUUGUGGAAUGAAUACAAAGAUGAGACACUCAAUGUUUGUCAUUGCUUCGGUAAUUUUCUUCUGGGAUAACUGAGAGCAAUUUCUGCAUCCAAAAUCUAUUUCAAAUGUGGAAUUUCUUUUAAAAAUUCCAGAGCAGUGGUCAUUCAGGAGAAGAAAAAAGGGAACGUGAGAUAGAAGUCAGUUAAAAGAGAAGAGAGUUGUUCAGGUGGAAGGACCUGCAGUGAGUCCCCAGUCCAACUGCCCAAAAGUUCAGAUAUCACAGAAAAAUGAGAAUUACAUAAUUUAGGCAUGGAUGUGCUGUUUUGUUACACUUCUUACUCCUUUCAAAUGCUUGCUGAGACAGAAUAUUUUAUGCUCUGUAUAAUGAAAAUCUGCAUACACACAGAAUGUUGGCAUUAUCAUGAAGUUUUGAAGGUACUAUAACCAAAAUUCAGCUGACAAAGUUUACAAGUUGGUCCAUCAUUUGACUGCUUGAUUUAUUUAUUUUGUGAAUUCUCAUUUUGAACAAGCUAAAUACUUUUUAUUUGCUGGUUGGCUCAAUUGUUGAGGAAAAUUUCUGGUAGAUAUUGUCCCUUCUGUAAGGAAUAUCAUUAAUAUGUAAGUAAGCAAUUUUUUAUACAUUAUUUACAUUCCUGAGGCAAGAUGACAAAAACCCACAAGGUAUUUUGUACCUACAUAGAUAGCCUUCAUAUUCCUGCAGCUAAAACCAGCGCUGUUAGUUCUGAAAUAUAUUCAAAAGGAACUUUUCUUUGGUGCUGAUUCUUUCUUUGUAACUUUCCCAGUCUUUUCACUUCUUCAAGGCUGAACUGGUUUGUCCCCAAAUCCCCUAUUUUUGCUGAUGUUAAGAUAGAUAAUAACCUGUUCCACUUUAUCACUUAAAUCAGGCACAGGUAAAGCUUUUAGGAUUUGCCCUUUUUGAAUUUUUUCUCCAUCCCUCUUUCUUUUCAGCUGUAGCUGAGACUUAGAUUGCAUUAACAGCAGGUAUUUGGGAUCAUCCUUUAUUGCCAGCCAGCUAAAUGUAAUUGUUGCAUCCUCCUGCUCUGCCUGCUCUUUGUUCCCAUUAAGAAAAUCCUGCCUUCACAAAUGUGUCAGACUUGUCCUUGGCAAGGGAAGGAUUGUGCCAUCUGGGAGCAGAGCAGCGCUGCAACCCAGAACUGAAGAGAGUAAGAUAGCUAAUAAAAAAAAUUCAAAUCAAAAUGGUGAAAUUGCUCUAAAGGCUUUCUUUGAAAGUGUGCUGAUAGAAAAAUGGCAUUUCUGUAGUGCUCAGCUGAGCCUGGGAGUGGGGGAUCACCGAGCCUCUCUGCAAUGAGAAAUGGUCAUUAGGAGGGGAAUUAAGGAAUGCCUGUUAUUCACACACUGCAAGAUGUGAUGAAGACAUCACCUGUGUUUAAAGUGUUUAAAUCAAUCUUCUGCAGCCCUUCACCUCAAUUCUUCCAACUUCAGCAGGAAUUGCCUCGAGAGGCUGCUCAGGAGGAUAAUGGAGAAGAGAGAGGGGUGGAUGGAGAAAGUGGCAAUUAGGCAGGAAUAGCAGAGGCUGUCAAAGUACAGAAAGUUGGGAGUGUCUUGAGGUGUUUAGAGCUGGUGACCUGGAGAAAAUGAUCAUUACUCAGUUGUUACUGCCUGGGGACAAGGUGGAGCAAGAUCAGUGGAGAUCAGAGGUGGCAGGGAGGCACGGGCCUUUUACAGAGCAGGAGAAAGUUGUGGGCUGGAAAAGGGAGCACCUGGAGAUGGAACCCACCCACAUCCCUGGGUCCUGAGGUCCUUGAGAAGGGAUUGAAGUGGAGCAGCAAAACCUUUUAAACAUUUUUUUUAUUUCCUGCUGGAAUUGGUUUCAUGUGGAAUUUUAGACUGAGUGCAU